rnacentral:tRNA from 1 species
GCGGAUAUGGUCGAAUGGUAAAAUUUCUC